rnacentral:rRNA from 1 species
GUGUCAGCAGCCGCGGUAAGACGGAGGGGGCAAGCGUUAUCCGGAAUUAUUGGGCGUAAAGCGCGCGUAGGCGGUUUUUUAAGUCUGAUGUGAAAGCCCACGGCUCAACCGUGGAGGGUCAUUGGAAACUGGAAAACUUGAGUGCAGAAGAGGAAAGUGGAAUUCCAUGUGUAGCGGUGAAAUGCGCAGAGAUAUGGAGGAACACCAGUGGCGAAGGCGACUUUCUGGUCUGUAACUGACGCUGAUGUGCGAAAGCGUGGGGAUCAAACAGGAUUAGAAACCCCCGUAGUCC